rnacentral:rRNA from 1 species
AACGAACGCUGGCGGCAUGCCUAACACAUGCAAGUCGAACGAGACCUUCGGGUCUAGUGGCGCACGGGUGCGUAACGCGUGGGAACCUGCCCUUAGGUUCGGAAUAACUCCCCGACAGGGGUGCUAAUACCGGAUAAUGUCUUCGGACCAAGGAUUUAUCGCCUUUGGAUGGGCACGCGUUGGAUUAGCUAGUUGGUAGGGUAAAAGCCUACCAAGGCGACGAUUCAUAGCUGGUCUGAGAGGCUGAUCAGCCACACUGAGACUGAGACACGGCCCAGACUCCUACGGGAGGCAGCAGAGGGGAAUAUUGGACAAUGGGCGGAAGCCUGAUCCAGCAAGGCCGCGUGAGUGAUGAAGGCCUUAGAGUUGUAAAGCUCUUUUACCCGGGAUGAUAAUGACAGUACCGGGAGAAUAAGCCCCGGCUAACUCCGUG